UGCGGGAGUCCGAUAGCGGCAAUUCGGCCAGGUUCAGGGCCUGGUGGCUUAGUGCCUCCGCAGGUUCGAGUCCUGCCUCCCGCAACC
rnacentral:tRNA from 1 species